UUCAACCGAUUCUCAUUUUCGAGAGUCUGUUCAUUCAGUCGGAUUUGCUAACGAAUAAAUCAGACCUGGGGUUUCGUUUUAACGGAGGUGUCGGCUCAACCGACUCACUGAAAAGAUCCAAAUCAAAAGAACGAUUCGCUCACGAAUCGGACAUCCGUGAUCAUCAAUAUGGCGGCCUCCGUGGUGACAUGGGCUGGUUUAGCCGCCAUUGGUCGUGCUUGUGGACAUAUUCGCUCUAGGUUGCUUGGAUCUUCAUCGACGUUAUCUCAGGUGUCUUGUCUUCACACAAGUACAGAGUUAAAUAGCAAACACUGGGAAAGGAAAAGUCUUAUUGUAUAUCCACCACAACAGAAAGAUGAACCACGCAGAC